GUAUUCAAGGUUUUCAUACUCAAGAUGGCGGCGCGUUCUCACGCUGCGGCUUCUCUCUCUCCCGACAGAAAGGUGUUUUCGUGUUUUUUGUCUUGUGAGUCGCAGUGUUUUUGUACGUAUUCGUCGCGUCUAUCUGUCUCUAAGCGCGUAUACAGUCGUGAGUUUCUGCUCGAUGUCGGCAGAACCACAUUUUUAGAGUUAAACUCUGCGCACGCCGAAGAGCUGCGGGAUCCCGGUCUGCUCCGGAGGCCCACCCCAUCACCGACCCCCACUACUGCAUCUCCCCCACAGCGGAGGCGCCACAAGCGGCGUGAGAGGAAGCAGAAGAGGGGUAAGCGCGGAGGUAUCCGGGCUAGGCUAGCGGCUAACCCACACAAGCCAGCUAUCCCCACCAUCGUACUGGCUAACGUACGCUCUUUGGACAAUAAACUGGACUACAUCCGACUACUACGCUCAACUCAGAGGACUGUAAGAGACUGUUGUGUUUUUGUGUUCACGGAAACAUGGCUCAACAACAGCGUUCCGGACUGCGCUAUUCAUCUCGAUCAGCUGACAUGCUAUCGAGCGGACAGAGCUCGCGUCGAGGGAGGUAAGACCCGCGGCGGCGGGCUUUGUGUUUACAUCAAUGAUGCGUGGUGCCGCGAUGCUGUUGUGGUCUGCAAACACUGCUCACCCCUGGUGGAGUUUAUGAUUAUUAAGUGCCGGCCGUUCUAUCUACCGAGGGAAUAUACAGCCAUACUGCUCGUUGCUGUAUACAUCCCUCCCAGCUCCAACAACAGCAACAGGAGAGAGG